rnacentral:rRNA from 1 species
GAUGAACGCUGGCGGCAUGCCUAACACAUGCAAGUCGAACGAAGUCUUCGGACUUAGUGGCGGACGGGUGAGUAACACGUGGGAACGUGCCCUUUGGUACGGAAUAACUCAGGGAAACUUGAGCUAAUACCGUAUGUGCCCUUCGGGGGAAAGAUUUAUCGCCAUUGGAGCGGCCCGCGUCUGAUUAGCUAGUUGGUGGUGUAAUGGACCACCAAGGCGACGAUCAGUAGCUGGUCUGAGAGGAUGAUCAGCCACAUUGGGACUGAGACACGGCCCAAACUCCUACGGGAGGCAGCAGUGGGGAAUCUUGCGCAAUGGGCGAAAGCCUGACGCAGCCAUGCCGCGUGAAUGAUGAAGGUCUUAGGAUUGUAAAAUUCUUUCACCGGGGACGAUAAUGACGGUACCCGGAGAAGAAGCCCCGGCUAACUUCGUGCCAGCAGCCGCAGUAACAC